rnacentral:rRNA from 1 species
UACGAAGGUGGCAAGCGUUGUUCGGAUUUACUGGGCGUACAGGGAGCGUAGGCGGUUGGAUAAGCCCUCCGUGAAAUCUCCAGGCUUAACCUGGAAAGUGCAGAGGGGACUGUUCAGCUAGAGGAUGGGAGAGGAGCGCGGAAUUCCCGGUGUAGCGGUGAAAUGCGUAGAUAUCUGGAGGAACACCGGUGGCGAAGGCGGCAUCCUGGACCGAGAUUGACGCUGAGGCGCGAAAGCCAGGGGAGCAAACGGG